UAAUGGAAGAUGAAGGGAGGAAAAGCAAGUAAAAGACAUGCUAUGCAUAGCCACCACAUGCCAUGGGCACCGUUGUCCCCCUGCACAAAGGAGGAGCAUCUCAGCAAGCUUGGCCUGGGCCGUGGAAGGGAUCAUACAAACAUCUGGACCAACGCGACAGGAGUUAGUUCUGCAGCUGUCGCAAUGCUUUGAUCCCCUGCUGCUGGGCUGGGGCGUUUGAGGAAUGAUGCGUGUGCUGAUGUCCAUCCAGGCUUUGGGGAUGAGUCUGCGUAGCAGGGAGGGCAGGUGGUGAAGCUCAUGAAGCAAUGCCUGCAGAUGGGGUUUGCAGAGCAAGAGGUCCGUCCUGCAGGCCUUGUGUGACACGCAUGGAGCUGUAGCGAGGCUGCAUCAGUGUAAAACAGCAGAAAUGCACGGAGGUGUGAAGGAAUCUCUGUGUGUUUUUUAGUGAAGAACAAACUCUGUGUUCAGUUGUGAAUGAAUGAAUUCAGGCCUGCUAGUUGGUGUUCUUCUCUACACGGAGCCGCAAUUGAAAUGGACGCUCCUGGUGUGAUGUGCGGCCCCGCCCCGUGUUCUCAGAUCCGCCAAGUUGGCAAGGCCUGGCUCUUGGUUGGUGAGCUGUGCCCAGGGUGAGAGACUUGACUCUUGUGGGCUUUGAGACAUGUCUUCGAGUUGCACGUUGUGUUAUUUCUGUUGGGUUGACCUCUUGAGCUCCAGCCCUAAGUGAGGAUCCAAGCAGUAGCGCAGAAGGAAUGGUUUAGACUGGAAGUGCAAUGCCAAGGGCUGGAGCCAGCCGGAGCAGGGAAGUGAUCAUCUCCCCGUACUCAGCACUGGUGAGUCCUCACCUUGAGUAGUGUGUUUGGUUCUGGGCCCCUCACUACAAGGGGGCCCCUGAAAGCCUGAAGUGUGUCCAGAGAAGAGCAAUGAAGCUGUGAGGGUUGUAGAGCACAAGUCUGAUGGGGAGCGGCUGAGGGAAGUGGGAUUCGUUAGUGUGGAGAAGAGGAGGCUGAGGGAAGACCACCUCACUCUGUCCAAUUACGUGACGAGUGGUUAUGUGGAGGUGGGGGUGGUCCUCUUCUCGCAUGGAACUAGUGCUAGAACUAGAGGGAAUGGCCUCAAGUUACAUGAGGGGAGAUUGAGGUUGGAUGUGAAGAAAAGCUUCUCCCAGUGAGCGGUCAGACGCUGCAA